rnacentral:rRNA from 1 species
GACGAACGCUGGCGGCGUGCCUAACACAUGCAAGUCGAGCGGAGGAUGCGGCGUAGUAAUACAAAGUAUCUUUAGCGGCGGACGGGUGAGUAACACGUGGGUAACCUGCCUCAGAGUGGGGGAUAGCCUUUCGAAAGGAAGAUUAAUACCGCAUAAGAUUGUAGCGUCACAUGGCGCAGCAAGAAAAGGAGCAAUCCGCUUUGAGAUGGACCCGCGGCGCAUUAGCUAGUUGGUGAGGUAACGGCUCACCAAGGCCACGAUGCGUAGCCGACCUGAGAGGGUGAUCGGCCACAUUGGAACUGAGACACGGUCCAGACUCCUACGGGAGGCAGCAGUGGGGAAUAUUGCACAAUGGGCGAAAGCCUGAUGCAGCAACGCCGCGUGAGUGAUGAAGGCCUGGUCGUAAAGCGACUUUGAUCAGGA